UACGGAGGGUGCAAGCGUUAUCCGGAUUUAUUGGGUUUAAAGGGUCCGUAGGCGGAUCUGUAAGUCAGUGGUGAAAUCUCACAGCUUAACUGUGAAACUGCCAUUGAUACUGCAGGUCUUGGGUGUUAUUGAAGUAGCUGGAAUAAGUAGUGUAGCGGUGAAAUGCAUAGAUAUUACUUAGAACACCAAUUGCGAAGGCAGGUUACUAAGCAACAACUGACGCUGAUGGACGAAAGCGUGGGGAGCGAACAGG
rnacentral:rRNA from 1 species